AUUGAACGCUGGCGGCAGGCUUAACACAUGCAAGUCGAGCGGGGUGAUGGUGCUUGCACUAUCACUUAGCGGCGGACGGGUGAGUAAUGCUUAGGAAUCUGCCUAUUAGUGGGGGACAACAUCUCGAAAGGGAUGCUAAUACCGCAUACGUCCUACGGGAGAAAGCAGGGGAUCACUUGUGACCUUGCGCUAAUAGAUGAGCCUAAGUCGGAUUAGCUAGUUGGUGGGGUUAAGGCCUACCAGGGCGACGAUCUGUAGCGGGUCUGAGAGGAUGAUCCACCACACUGGGACUGAGACAUGGCCCAGACUCCUACGGGAGGCAGCAGUGGGGAAUAUUGGACAAUGGGGGGAACCCUGAUCCAGCCAUGCCGCGUGUGUGAAGAAGGCCUUAUGGUUGUAAAGCACUUUAAGCGAGGAGGAGGCUCUUUUGGUUAAUACCCAAGAUGAGUGGACGUUACUCGCAGAAUAAGCACCGGCUAACUCUGUGCCAGCAGCCGCGGUAA
rnacentral:rRNA from 1 species